rnacentral:tRNA from 2 species
GGACAGAUGCCCGAGCGGCCAAAGGGAGCAGACUGUAAAUCUGCCGGCGUAAGCCUUCGGUGGUUCAAAUCCACCUCUGUCCA